UACGUAGGGGGCAAGCGUUGUCCGGAAUCAUUGGGCGUAAAGCGCGUGUAGGCGGCUUGUUAAGUCUGCUCUGAAAGCCCGGGGCUCAACCCCGGGAGGCGGGUGGAUACUGUCAAGCUCGAGUCCGGAAGAGGAGUGUGGAAUUCCUGGUGUAGCGGUGAAAUGCGCAGAUAUCAGGAGGAACACCAAUGGCGAAGGCAGCACUCUGGGACGUGACUGACGCUGAGACGCGAAAGCGUGGGGAGCAAACAGG
rnacentral:rRNA from 1 species